GAUGAACGCUGGCGGCAGGCCUAACACAUGCAAGUCGAGCGGUAGAGAGGUGCUUGCAUCUCUUGAGAGCGGCGGACGGGUGAGUAAUGCCUAGGAAUCUGCCUAGUGGUGGGGGAUAACGUUCGGAAACGGACGCUAAUACCGCAUACGUCCUACGGGAGAAAGCGGGGGAUCUUCGGACCUCGCGCCAUUAGAUGAGCCUAGGUCGGAUUAGCUAGUUGGUGAGGUAAUGGCUCACCAAGGCGACGAUCCGUAACUGGUCUGAGAGGAUGAUCAGUCACACUGGAACUGAGACACGGUCCAGACUCCUACGGGAGGCAGCAGUGGGGAAUAUUGGACAAUGGGCGAAAGCCUGAUCCAGCCAUGCCGCGUGUGUGAAGAAGGUCUUCGGAUUGUAAAGCACGUUUAAGUUGGGAGGAAGGGUAGUAACCUAAUACGUU
rnacentral:rRNA from 1 species